UGCCAGCCGCCGCGGUAACACGUACUGUGCGAACGUUAUUCGGAAUCACUGGGCUUAAAGGGUCCGUAGGCGGCGACGCAAGUCAGGUGUGAAAUCCCUCGGCAUAACCGAGGAACUGCAUCGGAUACUGCCGAACUCGAGUACAGUAGGGGAGAGUGGAAUUCCUGGUGGAGCGGUGAAAUGCGUAGAUAUCAGGAGGAACGCCGGUGGCGAAAGCGACUCUCUGGACUGUUACUGACGCUCAGGUGCGGAAGCCAGGGGAGCAAACGGGAUUAGAUA
rnacentral:rRNA from 1 species